rnacentral:tRNA from 1 species
AAAGUCCUAGCUUAAUUAAAGCGCCUGGGUUGCAUCCAGGAGAUGUGGGGUAGUGUCCUGCGGAUUUUA